rnacentral:piRNA from 1 species
UGACAGAGAUUUGAAUUCUCCCAGGUAUG